rnacentral:rRNA from 1 species
AAUCAACGCUGGCGGCGUGCCUCAGACAUGCAAGUCGAACGCGAAAGCUCCCUUCGGGGAGCAAGUAGAGUGGCGCACGGGUGAGUAACACGUAGGUAAUCUACCUUUGGAUGGGGAAUAACAACCGGAAACGGUUGCUAAUACCGCAUAAUGCAGCGGCACCUAAUGGUGACAGUUGUUAAAGCGGGGGAUCGCAAGACCUCGCGUCUGAAGAGGAGCCUGCGGCAGAUUAGCUAGUUGGUAAGGUAACGGCUUACCAAGGCGAUGAUCUGUAGCCGGCCUGAGAGGGCGGUCGGCCACACUGACACUGACAUACGGGUCAGACUCCUACGGGAGGCAGCAGUCGGGAAUUUUGGGCAAUGGGCGAAAGCCUGACCCAGCAACGCCGCGUGAAGGAUGAAAUCCCUCGGGAUGUAAACUUCGCAAGAACGGGAAGAAUAAGUAAGGGUUAAUAUCUCUUACGAUGACGGUACUGUUUGUAAGCUCCGGCUAACUCCGUGCCAGC